rnacentral:rRNA from 1 species
UACAGAGGUGGCAAGCGUUGUUCGGAAUUACUGGGCGUAAAGGGCGCGUAGGCGGCCAUCUAAGUCAGACGUGAAAUCCCCCGGCUUAACCUGGGAACUGCGUCUGAUACUGGACGGCUGGAGUUUGGGAGAGGGAUGUAGAAUUCCAGGUGUAGCGGUGAAAUGCGUAGAUAUCUGGAGGAAUACCGGUGGCGAAGGCGGCAUCCUGGACCAAUACUGACGCUGAGGCGCGAAAGCGAGGGGAGCAAACGGG